UUUGUUGUUGUUGCUAUCCUUGGUAAAAGAAGAGAAUGGGUUGUUUGUUGUUGUUUUGUGGAUAUCACGAAUGAGAGAGAGAGAAACAAAUAUUGUUGUGUUUGUUUUCUUUUUCUAUAAUUUAAUUAAUUUUUUAAUUAUUAUUUGUGUUAUAUUAUUAGAAGCCACAUGUCUCAGUUUCUAUGGUAUGAAUUUUAAUUUUGAAAAAUCAAAGAUUACAAAUUGUUUUAAUGUUCAUUUUGUUUUGGUGUAA